rnacentral:misc_RNA from 1 species
GUUAGACAGAUGCACAGCUAAAAUUAAGAUGUAAGAAAAAGUUAUUGCACCCUCUUUUUCUUGUUAAGAUCUAACUUUCCAUCAACCAUCACAAUGUCAUUAUUACUAUCAUCCUCUUCCACCUUCUUUUUAGUCAGCAUUGCACCAGUGACACUGAAUAUUUCUGGAUCGACAGCAACUGAAACAUCAGACGACUUUCUUUUCUUCCCAGCCGCAAGAAUUUCAGGGUCUUUGAGAAUGAUUUCUAUCUCAUCAUUAUCCUCUGACUCCAGUGGAACUGUCUGAGAUGCAUUAGACGAGCUCGGGCCAUUGUCCAAUGUCUUGGUCUUUUCUGCUGCAAGAGCUGGUGUCCAUCCUGAGAGAACCAUUCCAUCGGGUUCUUUCUCUUCAUCGAACUCCUCUCUGUGCUUAAUAUUGAUGCUGCACUUAAGCUCUUGCUGAAGAUCCUCCACUGUGAG